AGUGAACGCUGGCGGUAGGCCUAACACAUGCAAGUCGAACGGCAGCACAGGAGAGCUUGCUCUCUGGGUGGCGAGUGGCGGACGGGUGAGGAAUACAUCGGAAUCUACUCUGUCGUGGGGGAUAACGUAGGGAAACUUACGCUAAUACCGCAUACGACCUACGGGUGAAAGCAGGGGACCUUCGGGCCUUGCGCGAUUGAAUGAGCCGAGUUCGGUUUAGCUAGUUGGCGGGGUAAAGGCCCACCAAGGCGACGGUCCGUAGCUGGUCUGCGAGGAUGAUCAGCCACACUGGAACUGAGACACGGUCCAGCCUCCUACGGGAGGCAGCAGUGGGAAAUAUUGGACAAUGGGCGCAAGCCUGAUACAGCCAUACCGCGUGGGUGAAGAAGGCCUUCGGGUUGUAAAGCCCUUUUGUUGGGAAAGAAAUCCAGCUGGCUAAUACCCGGUUGGGAUGACGGUACCCAAAGAAUAAGCACCGGCUAACUUCGUGCCAGCCGCCGCAGUAA
rnacentral:rRNA from 1 species